UGAGAGACGAGAGCUAGGUCAGCGUUCGGGAUCUAGAGAUUUGGUAGUCCUAGCCAUAGGCGUUCGAUGGAGGAUGUCGCCCCUAGCGUUCCGCGUCGAAAUUAACGCGUUCAGCAUCCCGCCUGGGGAUUCCGGUCGCAAGGUUCAAACUCAAAUAAAUUGACUGGACCCCGCACAAGCAGCGGAGCCUGUGUUUUAAUUAGCUGCUACAAGAAGAUCCUUACCUGGGUUGCACAUCUAGGUGGUAGUGAAGCGAAAGCGGAGCGACCCUUCGGGGAGCCUAGACAGGUGCCGCAUGGCUUUUUUCAUCUCGUACCGAGAGGUAGAGGGUUAUGCCUGAUAAAGAGAGCAACCCUUGCCAUGUGUUAUAUGUGUCAGAGGGGAUUGCUGGCGGUAAGCUGGACCCAGUUGGGGAUGACCUCAAGUCAGCAUGCCCUUUAUAUUCAGGGCUACACACACGGUACAGUGGCCAGUAUAAAGGGCAGUGAAGCCGGGAGGUGGAGCGAAUCCCAGCAAAGAUCCUUGUAGUUCGGAUUGCAGGGUGCAACCCGCCUGCAUGAAGCUGGAGUGGUUAGUAACCGCGCUCAGCCAUAGUGCGGGUAAUACGUUCCGAGGGUUUGUACACCCCGCCCGUCAUCCCAUGGGAGUCGAUAAAGCCUGAAGCCA
rnacentral:rRNA from 1 species